AGAGAAAUAGCUCAGUGGUAGAGGGUAUGCUUAGCAUGCAUGAGGUCCUGGGUUCAACCCCCACUGCCUCCA
rfam:Camelus ferus unplaced genomic scaffold scaffold1388, whole genome shotgun sequence.